GACAGAGGGGGGCAAGCGUUGCUCGGAAUUACUGGGCGUAAAGCGCGCGUAGGCGGCUUUGUAAGUUAGAGGUGAAAGCCCCGGGCUCAACCUGGGAAUUGCAUUCGAGACUGCAUUGCUAGAGUAUGGGAGAGGGAAGUGGAAUUUCCGGUGUAGCGGUGAAAUGCGUAGAUAUCGGGAGGAACACCGGUGGCGAAGGCGGCCUUCUGGACGGAUACUGACGCUGAGACGCGAAAGCGUGGGGAGCAAACAGG
rnacentral:rRNA from 1 species